UACGUAGGGAGCAAGCGUUGUCCGGAAUCAUUGGGCGUAAAGCGCGCGUAGGCGGCCCUGUAAGUCCGUUGUGAGAGUCAAAGGCUCAACCUUUGAAAGCCGAUGGAUACUGCAGGGCUAGAGUCCGGAAGAGGCGAGUGGAAUUCCUGGUGUAGCGGUGGAAUGCGCAGAUAUCAGGAGGAACACCAAUAGCGAAGGCAGCUCGCUGGGACGGUACUGACGCUAAGGCGCGAAAGCGUGGGGAGCGAACAGG
rnacentral:rRNA from 1 species